rnacentral:misc_RNA from 1 species
GUGACCUUGCUGAAGCAGACCGUGCACUGAUUUUAGAGAAAUUUCGGCAAACAACAUCAAGGUGGAACCAAAAGUUCAGUUCUAUAUCAGAAGACAAAUGUGAGGUUGAGAAACUUGGAGAAAAAUCUCACAUGAUUGUAGUAACAGACGCCUGCCUUCCACUUCUUGCUUCUGGGGAGUCACCUCUUUCUGCCCAUGUUUUGAUAAAUUAUGAGAUACCAACAAAGAAGGAAACGUAUAUGAGGCGCAUGACUACCUGCUCAGCCUCAGAUGGGAUCUUGAUCAACAUGGUUGUUGGGGGAGAAGU